rnacentral:tRNA from 1 species
UGGCUCAGUUGGUAGAGCAUGGUGUUUGCGACGCCAGGGUUGUGGGUUCAAUUCCCAU